rnacentral:rRNA from 1 species
CAGUCGAACGAAGCACCUUACCGGAUUCUUCGGAUGAAAGUUUGGUGACUGCCUUACGGACGGGUGAGUAACGCGUGGGUAACCUGCCCUGUACCUUGGGAUAACAGCUGGAAACGGCUGCUAAUACCGCAUAAGCGCACGAGGAGACAUCUCCUAGUGUGAAAAACUCCGGUGGUACAGGAUGGGCCCGCGUCUGAUUAGCUGGUUGGCAGGGUAACGGCCUACCAAGGCAACGAUCAGUAGCCGGUCUGAGAGGAUGAACGGCCACAUUGGAACUGAGACACGGUCCAAACUCCUACGGGAGGCAGCAGUGGGGAAUAUUGCACAAUGGGGGAAACCCUGAUGCAGCAACGCCGCGUGAGUGAAGAAGUAUUUCGGUAUGUAAAGCUCUAUCAGCAGGGAAGAUAGUGACGGUACCUGACUAAGAAGCUCCGGCUAAAUACGUGCCAGCAGCCGCGGUAAUACGUAUGGAGCAAGCGUUAUCCGGAUUUACUGGGUGUAAAGGGUGCGUAGGUGGCAGUGCAAGUCAGAUGUGAAAGGCCGGGGCUCAACCCCGGAGCUGCAUUUGAAACUGCUCGGCUAGAGUACAGGCGAGGCAGGCGGAAUUCCUAGUGUAGCGGUGAAAUGCGUAGAUAUUAGGAGGAACACCAGUGGCGAAGGCGGCCUGCUGGACUGUUACUGACACUGAGGCACGAAAGCGUGGGGAGCAAACAGGAUUAGAUACCCUGGUAGUCCACGCCGUANACGAUGAAUACUAGGUGUCGGGGCCGNAUAGGCUCCGGUGCCGCCGCUAACGCAG